AGCAGCCGCGGUAAUUCCAGCUCCAAUAGCGUAUAUUAAAGUUGUUGCAGUUAAAAAGCCCGUAGUUGAAUUUCGGGAUUGGCGCAUCGGUCGUGCCUUACGGGGUAUGAACUGGUGCAGUCAAUUUCUCACCUUCUGGAGAACCGCGAUGUCCUUAAUUGGGUGCCGCGGGGAACCAGGACCUUUACUUUGAAAAAACUUAGAGUGUUUAAAGCAGGCAUUUUUGCUUGAAUACAUUAGCAUGGAAUAAUAAAAUAGGACGGCAUGGUUCUAUUUUGUUGGUUUCUAGGACCACCGUAAUGAUUAAUAGGGAUAGUUGGGGGGCAUUAGUAUUCAAUUGUCAGAGGUGAAAUUCUUGGAUUUAUUGAAGACUAACUACUGCGAAAGCAUUUGCCAAGGAUGUUUUCAUUAAUCAAGAACGAAAGUUAGGGGAUCGAAGACGAUCAGAUACCGUCGUAGUCUUAACCAUAAACUAUGCCGACUAGGAAUCAGACGAUGUUAAUUUUUUCAAUGACUCGUU
rnacentral:rRNA from 1 species